rnacentral:rRNA from 1 species
ACUCAAAGGAAUUGACGGGGGCCCGCACAAGCAGUGGAGCAUGUGGUUUAAUUCGACGCAACGCGCAGAACCUUACCCGGGCUAGAAAAGUACGGAACCCUUUAGAAAUAUCGGGGUGCUCGCAAGAGAGCCGUAAUCCAGGUGCUGCAUGGCUGUCGUCAGCUCGUGUCGUGAGAUGUUGGGUUAAGUCCCGCAACGAGCGCAACCCUUGUCCUUAGUUGCCAUCAUUUAGUUGGGCACUCUAAGGAGACUGCCGGCGUCAAGCCGGAGGAAGGUGGGGAUGACGUCAAGUCCUCAUGGCCCUUAUGUCCGGGGCUACACACGUGCUACAAUGGUCGGUACAGAACGUCGCGUACCCGCGAGGGGAAGCCAAUCGGCAAAAGCCGACCUCAGUACGGAUUGCAGUCUGCAACUCGACUGCAUGAAGCCGGAAUUGCUAGUAAUCGCUGAUCAGCAGGCAGCGGUGAAUACGUUCCCGGGCCUUGUACACACCGCCCGU